CUAGUGUAGUUUCGGCGACCUACAUGUUCACACGUGUUAUAAAAAAAAUCUAUAAAAUAAUUUAAUGUUUUGUGAGUUUUAUCGCGUGUUUGAAAAUACCAAAGAUUUGUUAUUCGUCAAAGGUGACGGAGUUCCACAGAGGUAAAAAAUAGGCAAAAAGAGCAUUUUUCGUUUAGUAUCUUCAUACAAAAUUCUACACUAGAAAAUAAUAAUUAAAUUAUAAUUAAUUAAGUAUAUCUAAGCCGUCUCUCUUUUAAUUAAACUUAUUAACUGCU